GGCUAUAUAGCUCAGGGGUUAGAGCACCUGGUCUUAUAAACCAUGGGGUUGUGAGUUCAGAUCUCACUGGGGCCU
rnacentral:tRNA from 1 species